rnacentral:rRNA from 1 species
UGGCGACCGGCGUACGGGUGAGUAACGCGUAUCCAACCUGCCCUUUACUAUGGGACAGCCCGUCGAAAGGCGGAUUAAUACCGUAUGUUGUCAUGUUGAUGCAUAUUUUCAUGACCAAAGGCUUCGGCCGGUAAAGGAUGGGGAUGCGUCUGAUUAGCUUGCCGGCGGGGUAACGGCCCACCGGGGCGACGAUCAGUAGGGGUUCUGAGAGGAAGGUCCCCCACACUGGGACUGAGACACGGCCCAGACUCCUACGGAAGGCAGCAG